rnacentral:rRNA from 1 species
GUGGGGAAUAUUGGACAAUGGGGGCAACCCUGAUCCAGCCAUGCCGCGUGAGUGAUGAAGGCCUUCGGGUUGUAAAGCUCUUUUGGUGGGGACGAUGAUGACGGUACCCACAGAAUAAGCUCCGGCUAACUUCGUGCCAGCAGCCGCGGUAAUACGAAGGGAGCUAGCGUUGUUCGGAAUUACUGGGCGUAAAGGGCGCGUAGGCGGUCAGGCAAGUCAGGUGUGAAAGCCCUGGGCUCAACCCGGGAAUUGCGCUUGAUACUACUUGGCUUGAUUUCGGGAGAGGUUGGUGGAAUUCCCAGUGUAGAGGUGAAAUUCGUAGAGAUUGGGAAGAACACCCGUGGCGAAGGCGGCCAACUGGACCGACAUUGACGCUGAGGCGCGAAAGCGUGGGGAGCAAACAGGAUUAGAUACCCUAGUAGUCC